GAUGAACGCUGGCGGCGUGCUUAACACAUGCAAGUCGAACGGAAAGGCCCAAGCUUGCUUGGGUACUCGAGUGGCGAACGGGUGAGUAACACGUGGGGGAUCUGCCCUGCACUUCGGGAUAAGCCUGGGAAACUGGGUCUAAUACCGGAUAGGACGAUGGUUUGGAUGCCAUUGUGGAAAGUUUUUUCGGUGUGGGAUGAGCUCGCGGCCUAUCAGCUUGUUGGUGGGGUAAUGGCCUACCAAGGCGUUGACGGGUAGCCGGCCUGAGAGGGUGUACGGCCACAUUGGGACUGAGAUACGGCCCAGACUCCUACGGGAGGCAGCAGUGGGGAAUAUUGCACAAUGGGCGCAAGCCUGAUGCAGCGACGCCGCGUGGGGGAUGACGGCCUUCGGGUUGUAAACUCCUUUCGCUAGGGACGAAGCGUUUUUGUGACGGUACCUGGAGAAGAAGCACCGGCUAACUACGUG
rnacentral:rRNA from 1 species